AGAUGUAAGGCUUAAAUUAUAUAAAAUCUAAAAGAUAAUAUAGUAGAAAUAGCACUUGUUUACGUUUGUGGUAUAUGUGAGGAGAUUUGCAACAAUUAUUUAGAUCAUUGUUGUUUGAAAAAAUAUGAAAAUCAUCAUAUUGAUGAGAAUCAUUAUUGUUAUCCUUUACUAGAGGAUGGUAUUACAAUAAUUCGGCGUGCUUUAUUGGAAAAUAGACAUGAGGGAC